rnacentral:rRNA from 1 species
GCUUGCAGCUAGCUCUCUGCAGCUCUCACAUAGUCGCCCACUGAGGCUAAGCAGGGCUGUACCCUGUCAGUACCUGGAUAGGAGACCACAUGGGAAAGCUAGGUUGCUGCCAAAA